UCUGGGAAUUGAACUCAGGACCUCUGGGAGAGCAGUCAGUGCUCUUAACUGCUGAGCCAUCUCUCCAGCCCUUCCUGAGACUUAUUGUUAUCUUAGCUACUCACCAAGUCCAUUCUGGAACCUGUCCAAGUCCAUUCUCAGGAUGCUGUACUUCUGACCACUGGGUUAUGAGACACGUUCAGGUGGAGUCAGGUACUUCAAGUGUCCUGUCCCUAUGUGAUUCCUUAGUAAAUACUCUUAGUGGUUACUCAUGCCCUCUUGUGGCACAAUUGGGGAACGGCAGGGAAAAAUUGAAGCUGGCCAAGAUUGGACUUCACAAUCUAGAAGCAACAGUUACUAGUACGAAAUAAGAUAGUAACAAUACUUUGUUGUCCUAUGUUAACAUUUUGACAUUCAUACAUAAUACUCCAUGGCAAGCACUUUUCUAGUUGUUUUAUCUGUAUUUGGAGGUGGGAUGCUAAGGAUUGAAUCUGAGCCUCGUCCUUGUAAGGCAAUGGCUCUCUGCCCCUGAACUACAUACAUCUCCACCCCUCUAUAUAUUUAUCUAAUUCUUAACACAAUCUAUAACAUAAACGCUUGUGGUGGUUUGAAAGAAAAUGUCCCCGGUUGGCUCAUAGGGUGUGGCACUACUAAGAAGUGCAUCCUUGUUGGAGGAAGUAUAUCACUAGGGGAUGGGCUUGGAGAUCUCAGAAGCACAAACCAGGAUUAGUGGCUCAUAUAUCUUUUCCUGCUGCCUGCAGAUCAAGACAAAAUUCUCAGAUCUUUCUUCAGCACCAUGUCUGUCUGCAUGCUGCCAUGAUUAUAAUAGACUACACCUCUGAAACUAAAAGCAAGCCCCAAUUGUGUGUUUUUCUUUUUGCGUUGCCAUAAUUGUGAUGUCUCUUCACAAGCAAUAGAGACCUUACCUAAGACAACAGACUUUUUAAAAAAGAUUUAUUAUUAUUAUUAUUAUAUGUAAGUACACUGUAGCUGUCUUCAGACACUCCAGAAGAGGGAGUCAGAUCUCCUUACAGAUGGUUGUGAGCCACCAUGUGGUUGCUGGGAUUUGGACUCAGGACCUUUGGAAGAGCAGUCGGGUGCUCUUACCCGCUGAGCCAUUUCUCCAGCCCCAGACAUGUUUCUUUUUUCUUUUAUUUUUUGGGUUUUUUGUUUUGUUUUGUUUGUUUGUUUGUUUGUUUUGUUUUACUUUAACUUUAUAAGUGUUUCACUUGUAUGAAUGUGUGAGAACCACGUGUGCUUGCUUGGUGCCUGGAGAGGCCAGAAGGCAUGGGGUCUCCUGGUACUGGAGUUUUAGAUGACUGUAAAUAAUCAUGCGGGAUUUACCCAGGGUAAAUGGAGACUGAACCCAGGUCUUCUGAAAGAGCAGCCAGUGCUCUUAACCAUCUCUCCAGUGCCCCUGCCUCCUGUCUCUGUUCUCUGAUAGGGAAACUAAGCACAGGAAGGUUCUGCACCUGUCCAGACCAUGCAGAAAAUGAGAAUCCUGACUCUGGGAAGUCUAGCCCCACAGGCGUUCAGCCUCGGCCACAGUGCAGAGAUUAAGCCCUAUCUGGCGGUUGUGAGAUAGAACUCGAGAUAUUGCCAUUAGAAAAGAAUUUCGGGUAAACAAUAAAUAACGUUAUCAGAAGUAAUCACAUUAAAUAUUUGGGUCAUACUUAUACCAACAAAUUAUUCAUUGUUUACCUGAAGUAACUUAAUUGAGAGUUGUAUAUUUUCAUUUACUUAAUCUAUCACCCCUAAUAUACAAGGUGAUUCUAUGCUGCUAUUGGCCAUACACACAUUGCUUCAUUUAUUACGUCAGAUGCCCCAGCCUCUUGUCUCCUCAGCCCUGAAGUUUCUAUCACCUUUUUCUUUCUUUUUUCUUUUUUAAGACUUGUUUAUUUAUUUCAUGUAUGUGAGUACACUGUAGCUGUCUUCAGACACACCAGAAGAGGGCAUUAGAUUCCAUUACAGAUGGUUGUGAGCCACCAUGUAGUUGCUGGAAAUUGAACUCAGGACCUCUGGAAGAGCAGUCAGUGCUCUUAACCAUUGAACCAUCUGUCCAGCCCCUGUACCACGCUGUUCAUGUAGAGAUGAUGAAAUGUCUAGCUAAGACUACAGAAUGUAACAAGUGGCAGAGCCGGGGUUAAAGGCUCGUACCCAUAAAUCUUAGCACUUGAAGCUAAGGUUAGGCAAUUGUGAGCUCAAGGCCAGCCUGGGCUUCAUCAUGAGUUCCCGGCUAGUCUGGGCUAUAGAAUAAAGCCCUGUGCCUUCCCACAAACAAAGGAGCUCAGUAAGAAUGGGCAUUGCCAGCAACCCUGAUUGCCUGAGUGUCAUGUGUUGUCCUUAGAACAGCUCAAGCUGAAAGCACCACUCCCUUGGGCUCCCUUCCUUGUGCGCAUUCACAGUAAAGAAUUCUUUAAAAAUUAGAUAUUGCAGCUGGGCGUGGUGGUGCACGCCUUUAAUCCCAGCACUUGGGAGGCAGAGGCAGGCAGAUUCCUGAGUUCAAGGCCAGCCUGGUCUACAAAGUGAGUUCCAGGACAGCCAGGGCUAUACAGAGAAACCCUGUCUUGAAAAACAAAACAAAAAAUUAUAUAUUGCUGGGUGUGCUGCCCUCACCUUCACUUCCAGUGCUUGGGGGGCAGAGACGAGUGGAUCUCUGAGUUCAAGGCCAGCCUGGUCUACAGAAUGUGUUCCAAGACAGCCAAAGCUACACAGAGAAACCUGUCUCAAACAAAAACAACAGCUACUACUACUACUAUUAGUAACAACAACAACAAUAAUAAUGUGAAAAAAAUAAUUAAGUUAAUAAAAUAAAAUAAAAAUUAGAGACUGAGCCAGGCAGUGAUGGUGCGUGCCUUUAAUCCCAGCACUUGGGAGGCAGAGGCAGGCGGAUUUCUGAGUUCGAGGCCAGCCUGGUCUACAAAGUGAGUUCCAGGACAGCCAGGGCUAUAUAGAGAAACCCUGUCUCAAAAAAAAAAAAAAAAAAAAAAAAAAAAAAAAAAAAUUAGAGACUGAUCAUGGGUCCUCUGGUUUUAAAACUGGAAUAUGUUUUCCACUUUAGUGAGGAAGAAAUUCAGAAUAUGGUUGCCACAAUGGAGGCCUUUAUUCCCAGUGUCCCCAAACUUGUUUGCAGGACAGCAGUGGAUAAUGCUGUAACACUCUCCUUCCAGGGUUCUUGGAGAUCAAGGAGAUCUGGAUUUAGAGAGUUACAGAGGUCCGGAGACAGGAAAAAGAUUGCUCCCCAAACCCUAUGGAGCCAGCCCCGAUGCUUUCUCAGCUGCCUGGGGUCCCUGUGGCUGAGAGGGACUGUGCACCUGCUGCUCUGUGCUGACAGCCUCAGGCUCUGCUGUUGGGAUUGUAUCACUUGCAACCCAAGCAGUCAGGGGACAUUGACUGCUAAAAGGCGACAGGAGUCUGAGAAAUCCAGGCCCCAGGAGCCUCUUCCAUUUGCUGGCUGCUUUGGGAGUACAGUGCUCCCAGGGUUUCGAGCUGUAACCGGUCUGCAGGGAAACACCCUCUCUGCAUUUUUCUCUUUUGACUCUAGGUCUUUUCCAACCCCUGAUUACCUGUGCCCUUCCUCCUCACAGAUAUAAACAGUCCUCUUGCCUCCCCACCCAUGCUGGCUGACUUUCCUAAGGCAAAAAAAAAAAAAAAAAAAAAAAAAAAAAUCACUGGAGCUUAUGGGCCAGGACCCCCCGUGGGGUGCAGGCUGGGGUGCCCUGAUGGUAUGUGUCCCAACAGGUUCUUCUCUAUCAACCUUGAAAUCAGCCUGGAGCCUGUCUGACCUGCAUUCCCCUUAACCCCCCCCCUCCCUUUUUACCCCCAGGGAGCUGGAGCCAGUGGUAGAGCCAGGUCAGAAGUAGGACUCAAGAGACAAGGUGUCUGUGGUCCCAACCUGGCCCCACAGGGAAGGCAGCGCACAAAGCCUUCUGUGUCCUGGGCUGGGCUGAGAGGUUGAGAGUUCACUUGCGUGGGUUCAGGGCCAGUUCCUGGGAGGAGAGAUGCUAGGCAGGGAGGUGUUUGUUUGCUUGUAGACCCUGUACAGCCUGGUCCUCUCCCACGUCUGGGAGGGGCCAGAGUUGGAGACAACAGCUGGGCUGGUCUUCAAGAGAGAGGUCAUCUGACUGACUGCUCAACCUAGGCUGUCCACUCCUCCUCUUCUCUGCCCGGCUACUCCGGAGCUGGUGCCUUCACGACGCUGAACCAUAACACCCAUCUUAUUUUCAGCACCUUUCAGGGAAGCCAGCUGCACCAUGUCUGCGAGCUGUGGACCACUGGGAACAUCUCUGACUCAGGAGAUCCUCAGCUCCCUGGGUCUUGCCGACAAGACCGCAGCCUGGGGGACCCUGGGCACCCUCAGGACGUUCUUGAGUUUCAGUGUGGACAAGGAUGUACAAAGACUGCUGAAGGCUAUCGCAGGCCAAGGUGUGGACUAUGAUACCAUUGUGGAUGUACUGACCAAUCGGAGCAGAGAGCAAAGACAGCUCAUUUCUCGAGCCUUUCAAGAGCGCACCAAACAGGAUCUAUUGAAGUCCUUGCAGGCAGCGCUCUCUGGCAAUCUGGAGAAAAUCGUGGUGGCUCUCCUACAGCCUGCAGCCCAAUUUGAUGCCCAGGAACUGAGGACAGCCUUGAAGACCUCUGGUUCUGCUGAGGAUGUAGCCUUGGAAAUCCUGGCCACCCGAGCAGCGCCCGGACUGCAGGCAUGCCUGGCAGUAUAUAAGCAUGACUUCCAGGUGGAGGCUGAGGAAGAUAUCAGGACUGAGACCAAUGGUAUCCUGCAGGACCUGCUUCUGGCCCUGAGCAAGGGGGACCGUGAGAGCUAUUCUGGAAUUAUUGAUUACAACUUGGAAGAACAAGAUGUCCGGGCACUUCAGCAGGCUGGAGAAUCCAGUACAGCAGGGCAAUGGGUCCUGCUCCUUACACAACGCAGUCCUGAACACCUCAUCCGAGGUACCCAAGCUUCCAUAUCCCCACCCAGCUUCCUCUAUCUACUGAUGAGUGUGGCGGGUCACCAUUCUCUGUGUACCGGAGAUGCACUGGCCAGGAACUGGAGGAUGCUAUCCGGAACUGUUUCCAUGGAGAUGCCCAGCUGGCUCUGAUCAGCCUAGCUUCCAUGUUGAGAAACACAGCGCUGUACUUUGCUAACAAACUCCACCAAGCCCUUCAGGAAACUGAGCCUAAUUUCCAAGUGCUGACGCGGGUCCUUAUCUCCCGAAGCGAGAGUGACCUUCUAAGCAUUCGGGCUGAGUUCAAGAAGAAAUUUGGGAAGUCUCUCUAUUCUUCUCUUCAGGAUGUAGUCAGAGGGGAUUGUCGUUCAGCACUACUGGCCCUGUGUAGAGCUGAAGAUAUCUGAGACCUUCCUGACCCACCCUGACGCGACACUCGAAACCGCUGAGAUUCCCAUAUUUGGUUGAAAACAUGGAAGAACCCCAAGGAACACCAUGCACCCUGGCCUCCUCUCGAGGCUGGACCUCUGAGUUCCUUUGGAUUUCCCUCUUCUCAGACUGGCAUCUUCCAGCUCCAUUCUAGAGAGGAGUAACGGGAGUUCUCUGACAGUCUCUGCCCUGCUCAAUCCCUCCUAAGGCCAGAACAUCUCCCUGGGAGUCAAAUGUUUUGGCAGUUCACCAUCUUUUUGUUUCCUGGUUAAAGUCUGGGUGGAGGAGGCCAUGGAUCAGGAGGAGGCCAUGGAGUUGAGGUGCCUUUGAAGUAUGCUCAGCCAUUCAACAGGAAUCCUGUUUUUACCCCAGUACUGCACUUAACAGUUACCAACACACCCCACUCCUGGAUCUUCUCCCCAGGAAAUCUCACGUAAUUAAGAACAGUAAAAAGAAAGAGCGGAAGAGCCAACAUUUGGGUUCCCCCUGCUGGCUCUGUGAGAAAUGACAGGCAACCUGUCGCCUCCCUGGCUCCUCCCCUGUUCACAUUCCUCAACCGGGUCAAAUAUUUUACUCCCCUGCUCCAAGGUAGGAACGCAAAUCUCAGGAAAGAAGUUUUAUUUCCAAACCUCUAGGAAGGCAUUAAAAAUAAUAAAGAUAGAAACUCAAA